GGGGACCUACGGGGGGCAGCAGUGGGGAAUAUUGCACAAUGGGGGAAACCCUGAUGCAGCAACGCCGCGUGAGUGAUGACGGCCUUCGGGUUGUAAAGCUCUGUCUUCAGGGACGAUAAUGACGGUACCUGAGGAGGAAGCCACGGCUAACUACGUGCCAGCAGCCGCGGUAAUACGUAGGUGGCGAGCGUUGUCCGGAUUUACUGGGCGUAAAGGGAGCGUAGGCGGGCUUUUGAGUGAGAUGUGAAAUACUCGGGCGCAACUUGAGUGCUGCAUUUCAAACUGGAAGUCUAGAGUGAAGGAGG
rnacentral:rRNA from 1 species